UGAAUCCAACGUCUAAACAACGUCAUAACCACGACGUCUAAUAGACGUCAGACUUAGACGUCUAGGAGACGUUGGAAUUAGGUUGGAUAGAAAGUCUGUUUAAAUGUUUUCAUUUAUGAAAUUAACUGGUGUAAUUUUGCUAUAAUAGUUUAAAGAUAGUUAUGCCUGAACAUGCGCUUAUAAAUAAUAGUUCAUUAGCACAUCAAACAUUAUCAUUAAUUAUGUUACAAAAUCGCAUGAGAUUGUCUCUUUUCGGAAACGGAUUUCUUUUUUACCAAUUUAAAACUGUUCAGGAAAAAAUUGCAUUCUAUACACAUGUAUAAAUUAUUCUAAAUUCACCUAAGGAUCUUCUUCUACACAUGUUGUUUAUUAGUCAUGCCUUCGCCGCGAGAUAAGCCUGCAUCGGUUUACACAAGUCUUCCGGUAAUUUGAUAUUUGUGGGAUAAGAUAGCAAGUUUAUAAAUACUUUACACAAAGGGAUCCGCAACAUGGGAAUUUUAGCGGAGUUGAAGAAUCAUGCAGACAUGACUAAACUUGAAAGUUUCAGUUACUGGAUUACCUUUUUUGGAAUGAUGAUAUUAGACUUAUGUCGCUAUCAUGUGAAAUAAAGCUUAUAAAAUA
rnacentral:lncRNA from 1 species